UGAGGAAUAUUGGACAAUGGGUGGAAGCCUGAUCCAGCCAUCCCGCGUGAAGGAAUAAGGUCCUAUGGAUUGUAAACUUCUUUUGUAUAGGGAUAAACCUACUCUCGAGAGAGUAGCUGAAGGUACUAUACGAAUAAGCACCGGCUAACUCCGUGCCAGCAGCCGCGGUAAUACGGAGGGUGCAAGCGUUAUCCGGAUUUAUUGGGUUUAAAGGGUCCGUAGGUGGACUGGUAAGUCAGUGGUGAAAUCCUGCAGCUUAACUGUGGAACUGCCAUUGAUACUGCUAGUCUUGAGUAUAUUUGAAGUAGCUGGAAUAAGUAGUGUAGCGGUGAAAUGCAUAGAUAUUACUUGGAACACCAAUUGCGAAGGCAGGUUACUAAGAUAUAACUGACGCUGAGGG
rnacentral:rRNA from 1 species